rnacentral:rRNA from 1 species
GCCGAACGCUGGCGGCGUGCCUAAUACAUGCAAGUAGGACGCAGUUGCGAACGGGUGAGUAACGCGUAGGUAACUACCUAUUAGAGGGGGAUAACUAUUGGAAACGAUAGCUAAUACCGCAUACUAGUAGAUGGACCUGCGGUGUAUUAGCUAGUUGGUAGGGUAAUGGCCUACCUAGGCAACGAUACAUAGCCGACCGGAGAGUGUUGUCGGCCUCACUGGGACUGUGACACGGCCCAGAUUCCUACAGGAAGCAGCAGUAGGGAAUCUUCGGCAAUGUGGGGGAACCUGACCGAGCAACGCCGCGUGAGUGAAGAGGGUUUUCGGAUCGUAAAGCUCUGUUGUUAAGGAAGCGGUACUUAACCAGAAAGGGACGGCUAACUACGUGCCAGCAGCCGCGGUAAUAC